GAAACCCGGUGAUCUAGCCAUGGGCAGGUUGAAGGUUGGGUAACACUAACUGGAGGACCGAACCGACUAAUGUUGAAAAAUUAGCGGAUGACUUGUGGCUGGGGGUGAAAGGCCAAUCAAACCGGGAGAUAGCUGGUUCUCCCCGAAAGCUAUUUAGGUAGCGCCUCGUGAAUUCAUCUCCGGGGGUAGAGCACUGUUUCGGCAAGGGGGUCAUCCCGACUUACCAACCCGAUGCAAACUGCGAAUACCGGAGAAUGUUAUCACGGGAGACACACGGCGGGUGCUAACGUCCGUCGUGAAGAGGGAAACAACCCAGACCGCCAGCUAAGGUCCCAAAGUCAUGGUUAAGUGGGAAACGAUGUGGGAAGGCCCAGACAGCCAGGAUGUUGGCUUAGAAGCAGCCAUCAUUUAAAGAAAGCGUAAUAGCUCACUGGUCGAGUCGGCCUGCGCGGAAGAUGUAACGGGGCUAAACCAUGCACCGAAGCUGCGGCAGCGACACUAUGUGUUGUUGGGUAGGGGAGCGUUCUGUAAGCCUGUGAAGGUGGCCUGUGAGGGUUGCUGGAGGUAUCAGAAGUGCGAAUGCUGACAUAAGUAACGAUAAAGCGGGUGAAAAGCCCGCUCGCCGGAAGACCAAGGGUUCCUGUCCAACGUUAAUCGGGGCAGGGUGAGUCGACCCCUAAGGCGAGGCCGAAAGGCGUAGUCGAUGGGAAACAGGUUAAUAUUCCUGUACUUGGUGUUACUGCGAAGGGGGGACGGAGAAGGCUAUGUUGGCCGGGCGACGGUUGUCCCGGUUUAAGCGUGUAGGCUGGUUUUCCAGGCAAAUCCGGAAAACCAAGGCUGAGGCGUGAUGACGAGGCACUACGGUGCUGAAGCGACAAAUGCCCUGCUUCCAGGAAAAGCCUCUAAGCAUCAGGUAACAUCAAAUCGUACCCCAAACCGACACAGGUGGUCAGGUAGAGAAUACCAAGGCGCUUGAGAGAACUCGGGUGAAGGAACUAGGCAAAAUGGUGCCGUAACUUCGGGAGAAGGCACGCUGAUAUGUAGGUGAAGCGACUUGCUCGUGGAGCUGAAAUCAGUCGAAGAUACCAGCUGGCUGCAACUGUUUAUUAAAAACACAGCACUGUGCAAACACGAAAGUGGACGUAUACGGUGUGACGCCUGCCCGGUGCCGGAAGGUUAAUUGAUGGGGUUAGCGGCAACGCGAAGCUCUUGAUCGAAGCCCCGGUAAACGGCGGCCGUAACUAUAACGGUCCUAAGGUAGCGAAAUUCCUUGUCGGGUAAGUUCCGACCUGCACGAAUGGCGUAAUGAUGGCCAGGCUGUCUCCACCCGAGACUCAGUGAAAUUGAACUCGCUGUGAAGAUGCAGUGUACCCGCGGCAAGACGGAAAGACCCCGUGAACCUUUACUAUAGCUUGACACUGAACAUUGAGCCUUGAUGUGUAGGAUAGGUGGGAGGCUUUGAAGUGUGGACGCCAGUCUGCAUGGAGCCGACCUUGAAAUACCACCCUUUAAUGU
rnacentral:rRNA from 1 species